ACGAACGCUGGCGGCGUGGAUAAGACAUGCAAGUCGAACGAGAGAAUUGCUAGCUUGCUAAUAAUUCUCUAGUGGCGCACGGGUGAGUAACACGUGAGUAACCUGCCCCCGAGAGCGGGAUAGCCCUGGGAAACUGGGAUUAAUACCGCAUAGUAUCGAAAGAUUAAAGCAGCAAUGCGCUUGGGGAUGGGCUCGCGGCCUAUUAGUUAGUUGGUGAGGUAACGGCUCACCAAGGCGAUGACGGGUAGCCGGUCUGAGAGGAUGUCCGGCCACACUGGAACUGAGACACGGUCCAGACACCUACGGGUGGCAGCAGUCGAGAAUCAUUCACAAUGGGGGAAACCCUGAUGGUGCGACGCCGCGUGGGGGAAUGAAGGUCUUCGGAUUGUAAACCCCUGUCAUGUGGGAGCAAAUUAAAAAGAUAGUACCACAAGAGGAAGAGACGGCUAACUCUGUGCCAGCAGCCGCGGUAAUACAGAGGUCUCAAGCGUUGUUCGGAAUCACUGGGCGUAAAGCGUGCGUAGGCUGUUUCGUAAGUCGUGUGUGAAAGGCGCGGGCUCAACCCGCGGACGGCACAUGAUACUGCGAGACUAGAGUAAUGGAGGGGGAACCGGAAUUCUCGGUGUAGCAGUGAAAUGCGUAGAUAUCGAGAGGAACACUCGUGGCGAAGGCGGGUUCCUGGACAUUAACUGACGCUGAGGCACGAAGGCCAGGGGAGCGAAAGGGAUUAGAUACCCCUGUAGUCCUGACAGUAAACGGUGCACGCUUGGUGUGCGGGGAAUCGACCCCCUGCGUGCCGGAGCUAACGCGUUAAGCGUGCCGCCUGGGGAGUACGGUCGCAAGAUUAAAACUCAAAGAAAUUGACGGGGACCCGCACAAGCGGUGGAGUAUGUGGCUUAAUUCGAUGCAACGCGAAGAACCUUACCUGGGCUUGACAUGUAAUGAACAACAUGUGAAAGCAUGCGACUCUUCGGAGGCGUUACACAGGUGCUGCAUGGCCGUCGUCAGCUCGUGUCGUGAGAUGUUUGGUUAAGUCCAGCAACGAGCGCAACCCCUGUUGCCAGUUACCAGCACGUGAAGGUGGGGACUCUGGCGAGACUGCCCAGAUCAACUGGGAGGAAGGUGGGGACGACGUCAGGUCAGUAUGGCCCUUAUGCCCAGGGCUGCACACGUACUACAAUGCCCAGUACAGAGGGGGCCGAAGCCGCGAGGCGGAGGAAAUCCUGAAAACUGGGCCCAGUUCGGACUGUAGGCUGCAACCCGCCUACACGAAGCCGGAAUCGCUAGUAAUGGCGCAUCAGCUACGGCGCCGUGAAUACGUUCCCGGGUCUUGUACACACCGCCCGUCACAUCAUGGAAGCCGGUCGCACCCGAAGUAUCUGAAGCCAACCGCAAGGAGGCAGGGUCCUAAGGUGAGACUGGUAACUGGGAUG
rnacentral:rRNA from 1 species